AGGAUUAGAAAUGCGAAUAUUAUAUCAAAAUAGGGUAGAACUCACCGAAACGAGAAUUUUGACACUAAUUUUGAAGAAAACGGUCCAAGAUUGGACCGAAAGGACCGAACCGGUUGAACCGGACCCGAACCGGGCUGUCGGUUCAACCGGACCAGCCCUAUUAAAUGAACCCAGCUUUGUCUUCUCCCUCGUUACUGCAGCAACGAAGCUUUCAGCUUCCAGGGAGAAGAGAAACGAGAAACAUUCCCGUAACCCUCACGUUAAUUCUCGAUCCCCGUAACUUCUCCGUCCGAGCUCCAAUCGCCGCACCGUUUGCGGCCACGCGUUCACCGCGUCGAGCUCUACAUUUCUACCGGAACAAUUUCAUAGGAUCCAAUUAGUUUGAGAGAAACGUUCACUCUUGCUUAUGUGAAGCUUGGGUAAGGUUGAAAAUAAAUAAUUGGAGCUUGAAACUGUGAAUACUGGAACUUGGAGGAAGCGGAUUAGUUGAGUUUUGAGGGGUUGUCUUGGUUUUGAAUAAAUAGCUUUGGUCGUUACGUGGAAAUCGGCCAAGAUGCAGGUCGAGAGGCAUCUUGUUAGGCGUCUGAACUCUUGAAGCGAAGUGGUUACUGGGAUAUUUUGUUAUGCUAUGAUGUAUAUAUAUGUACUUAGAUUUCUCUCCGCAUGACUUAUUCUUUUUGAUCCUCUUAGAGGUUUAUGGAGAGGCAGGAUUGUGUAUAUGUACUUUUGGGUUUGGAUACGUAUGUAUAUAUGUGUAAAUAUUCUCCGGCCAGUCUUGACUUCGCAGGCUGAGUUAGGAGCUUGAUAUUUUGUA